rnacentral:rRNA from 1 species
AGCAGCCGCGGUAAUUCCAGCUCCAAUAGCGUAUAUUUAAGUUGUUGCAGUUAAAAAGCUCGUAGUUGAAUUUUGGGUCUGGCCGGGCGGUCCGCCCUCCGGGUGAGCACUGUUCCGACGCCGGGCCUAUCCUUCUGGAGAGUCGGCAUGUCCUUUAUUGGGUGUGCCGGGGAACCAGGACCAUUACCUUGAAAAAAUUAGAGUGUUCAAAGCAGGCGUAUGCUCGGAUACAUUAGCAUGGAAUAAUGAAAUAGGACGCGUGGUGCUAUUUUGUUGGUUUCUAGAACCGCCGUAAUGAUUAAUAGGGAUAGUUGGGGGCAUUAGUAUUCAAUUGUCAGAGGUGAAAUUCUUGGAUUUAUUGAAGACUAACUUCUGCGAAAGCAUUUGCCAAGGAUGUUUUCACUAAUCAAGAACGAAAGUUAGGGGAUCGAAGACGAUCAGAUACCGUCGUAGUCUUAACCAUAAACUAUGCCGACUAGGAAUCGGGCGAUGUUAUUCUCAUGACUC